rnacentral:rRNA from 1 species
UAUAACCGGCGAUACCCGAAUGGGGAAACCCAGUGUGACUCGUCACACUAUCAUUAACUGAAUCCAUAGGUUAAUGAGGCGAACCGGGGGAACUGAAACAUCUAAGUACCCCGAGGAAAAGAAAUCAACCGAGAUUCCCCCAGUAGCGGCGAGCGAACGGGGAGGAGCCCAGAGCCUGAAUCAGCAUGUGUGUUAGUGGAAGCGUCUGGAAAGGCGCGCGAUACAGGGUGACAGCCCCGUACACAAAAGCGCAUGUGCUGUGAGCUCGAUGAGUAGGGCGGGACACGUGGUAUCCUGUCUGAAUAUGGGGGGACCAUCCUCCAAGGCUAAAUACUCCUGACUGACCGAUAGUGAACCAGUACCGUGAGGGAAAGGCGAAAAGAACCCCGGCGAGGGGAGUGAAAAAGAACCUGAAACCGUGUACGUACAAGCAGUGGGAGCCCCACCACCAAAGCAUUUGCUGUACCGCGUUGACGGAGCGAAGCGACGUCAAACCGAUAAAACAGCAGUGUAAAGUGAGCCGCAGGGCGCUUUGCGCGACAGCGCAAAGGCAGGCGGUUUCGCGUAGCGAAAGCGAAUGC